AAUAUAGGAUGACCAGUUAAAUUUGUAUUUCAGAUAACCAAUGAAUUUUUUUAAAGUAUCAGUAUGUCCCGUGCAAUAUUUGGGACAUACUUACACUAAAUGAAUUAUUGUAGUUUAUCAGGAAUUCAAAUUUAAUUGGGCAUCCUGUAUUUU
rnacentral:miRNA from 1 species